UCUCAUCAGAAAAUAUUUAUUUUUGAAGAAAAAUAUUGCAUCAAGAAUCAGUUCUUAAUUAGUUGACACUCAGUAGUUCCUGAACGAUUCAACAAAGAUGUCUGGCCACUCUGACGAACUCCGAAAAUUGUUGCAUCUGAACGUGACAUUUCGUUCAAGAUAUGCAACGAACCCCAUUAGAAGUAUAGACCUUAAUUGGAUCCAGGUCAGCAAAAAUGAACCCAAAGACAUCAUUUAGGGAGGCCAGGGGGAUGGGGAAAUUUAUCAAAGCUCAUUUUAAGGGAAACUUCAUUCAAUUUGUAUCAAUUUUAAGGCAUUUUUAGAUAUUAUUUGAAACUUUGCUUCCCCCAUUUACUCUCAAGAACUUUUACCCCCUCCGCCCCUCCAAGGCUUUUCUGAAAUGAGUAAUGCCGCAUCUGGAGGAGUCAAGUGCACUGUGCAUGACCUUAAUUAGACCCACAUAUUCCGACAGUGUAAUUUCAAUGACUCUCAUGUUGCCUCUGAAAUAAACGAAACAAACUAG